rnacentral:snoRNA from 1 species
GGCCAUUGAUGCUGAAAUUGUCCGUACCAUCGGAGAUGCUUACAUCUUUGACGAUUGUAUCUAUAUAUAUUUCUGAGGCCA